UACGUAGGGACCAAGCGUUGUUCGGAUUUACUGGGCGUAAAGGGCGCGUAGGCGGCAAUUCAAGUCAGCUGUGAAAUCUCCGGGCUUAACUCGGAACGGUCAGCUGAUACUGCUUUGCUAGAGUGCAGAAGGGGCAAUCGGAAUUCUUGGUGUAGCGGUGAAAUGCGUAGAUAUCAAGAGGAACACCUGAGGUGAAGACGGGUUGCUGGGCUGACACGUGACGCUGAGGCGCGAAAGCUAGGGUAGCAAACGGG
rnacentral:rRNA from 1 species